rnacentral:rRNA from 1 species
GGUAUCGCCGUUAGUCAUGUGCAAAUAUGGAUAGCUGUUUUAGCCGUCUUUAUUGACUGGUUUAUAAGAGUUAUCAGAUAUCACUUUGAUUAAAUUAGAGUGCUUAAAGCAAGUGUGUUACUUGGAUAUAAAUGCAUGGAAUGAUGGAAUAUGUUGUUAUUCUAUUUGUUGGUUUUUGAAUGAUAAAAUGAUUGAAAGGAACUGUUGGGGGCAUUUGUAUUGUUGUGAGAGAGGUGAAAUUCUUAGACCACAGCAAGACGAACUACUGCGAAAGCAUUUGCCAAGAAUGUUUUCAUUGAUCAAGAACGAAAGUUAGAGGUUCGAAGGCGAUCAGAUACCGCCCCAGUUCUAACCAUAAACUAUGCCAACUAGCAAUUUGCUUUGUAUUUUUUAUGACUAAGUGAGAGGCCACGGGAAACCUAAGUAGGGUUAUGGGGGAAGUAUGGUUGCAAAGCUGAAACUUAAAGGAAUUGACGGAAGGGCACCACCAGGAGUGGAGCCUGCGGCUUAAUUUGACUCAACACGGGAAAACUUACCUGGUCCUGACACUAGAAGGAUUGACAGAUUGAUAGCUCUUUCUUGAUUUGGUGGAUGGUGGUGCAUGGCCGUUCUUAGUUGGUGGAGUGAUUUGUCUGGUUAAUUCCGAUAACGAACGAGACUCUAGCCUAUUAAAUAAUACACGGAAUUUUAUCUUCCGCGGUAUUUCUUAGUGGGAUCAAGCG